rnacentral:rRNA from 1 species
UUAAUUGAAGAGUUUGAUCAUGGCUCAGAUUGAACGCUGGCGGCAGGCCUAACACAUGCAAGUCGGGCGGUAACAGGGAGAAGCUUGCUUCUCCGCUGACGAGCGGCGGACGGGUGAGUAAUGUAUGGGGAUCUGCCUGAUGGCGGGGGAUAACUACUGGAAACGGUAGCUAAUACCGCAUAAUGUCUUCGGACCAAAGCGGGGGACCUCCGGGCCUCGCGCCAUCAGAUGAACCCAUAUGGGAUUAGCUAGUAGGUG